AAUAAUGCAGUCAGCAGAAGAGGGACACGUCACCCCUGUGGAUCUACAACAUGAAGAAUUCCAGAAGAAAAUAAUACAAAAGGAGGAGGAUGAAGAUGAUGAUGAUAUCUUCUUUGGGUGUAAAUAAAAUGGACUAUACAAGGUCUAUCUGGAGAAACAAACUGCCAAGUGUGAUCCUCAGUGAUCAUGCACAGAGCCUGACUAUUUGGCUUCAAUGAUUGUAAUGUGGGGAGCAUCACAUAGGAUCUUGAUGAAAGCAUCUGCAUAAGAUGGAGAACAAUGAGGAUCUACAGUACAAACACAGCAGCUUCUUGUUCUUAUGAUGAUUAAUGGCGGAUGGCAGAAUAACUUAGGACGCACCAGCGUCACCAACUGGACUGGAGUUGAACAGCAGCUCAGCAAUAAUAAAUCUCCACUAGCACAUCUGUAUCUCUCUAUUGCCGAGGAGUUAAUGUGUGUUUAUAUCACUUCAUGUAUCUAUACGUAUCUAUUCUAUUAAUAUUCAUAAUAGAACUGUACUCAACUGUAUUCAUAAGCAUGCACACACACACACAUGCUUCCACAUUCACAUGUUUUUGCUGUAUGUGUUAUGUAGAUAAUAUUUAGGUGAUUUGAUGUAUUUUUAUGUUGUUGAGCUUUGAAUGUUAUUUUUGCUUCACUGU